rnacentral:rRNA from 1 species
AUGAUGUGGUUUAAUUCGAUGCAACGCGAAAACCUUACCACCUUUGACAUGUACGGAAUCCUUUAGAGAUAGAGGAGUGCUCGAAAGAGAGCCGUAACACAGGUGCUGCAUGGCUGUCGUCAGCUCGUGUCGUGAGAUGUUGGGUUAAGUCCCGCAACGAGCGCAACCCUUGUCAUUAGUUGCUACAUUCAGUUGGGCACUCUAAUGAGACUGCCGGUGACAAACCGGAGGAAGGUGGGGAUGACGUCAAGUCCUCAUGGCCCUUAUAGGUGGGGCUACACACGUCAUACAAUGGAUGGUACAAAGGGUCGCCAACCCGCGAGGGGGAGCCAAUCCCAUAAAGCCAUUCGUAGUCCGGAUCGCAGUCUGCAACUCGACCGCGUGAAGUCGGAAUCGCUGGUAAUCGUGGAUCAGAAUGUCACGGUGAAUACGUUCCCGGGUCUU